UAGCCAUUCCUCCCAUGAUGGAAAUUUAUUUUAUUUCUAUUCAGGACCCAGCAACUCUGGCCCACCCACCAACUGUGCCUGAGAUAUUCUUCCUUCCUUUCCCCACCCGUUCUCAGGGCAUGUCUCCAGAAUCCACAUUCUAGACUGUUCCCUCAAGGAGCUUGAUCUCAGAGGUCAAGCUUCAUUUUGGCUCUCUUGCUCUGCUCUACCCUGAUGUACUUGACAUUUUGAACUGUUCCUUCUGGUAAGGCUAACUUGCCAGGAAGCUGAACUUAAAUUCUCUUAAUUUUGCUUCUAACCCUGUCUAUAUUUUCCCAGCUAGUCCUAGGUUUAUAGAUCUUGGCUUGGGCCAGAGCACAAGGCCUGAGCUCUCCACUGGAUAAAAGUCAGGGUGGCAGGGCAAGGCCACUAAAUCUCUGGUUUGUGCCUAUUAAAAAUGACUCUGGGAUGAGCAAUUUUUUUUCAUAAAAUUUCCCCUCAUACUUAGGAUUGUUUUUUUAGGAUAGAAUCCCAGAAAUGGAAUUACUAAAUUAGGGAUUAUGACUAUUUUUAAAGCUGUUAAUAUUUAUUAUCAACUGAAUAUAGCUAACAUUUAUUAACUGCUUCUGAGACAUUAUCUCAUUUACUUCUCACAACAGUCAUAUACAUAUCCUCAUUAUGGAUAAGGAAAUGGAUGCAUAGAGAGUAUGUUUAACACUACAGUGCAUUAUUUUGAGCUAUCAAAAUGGCUGUCAUUGUUUAUUAUAACUCAAAAGGCAACAAUAGGCUUUGUUAAUGUGUUUGCCUAUUUUUGGUGGAGGGGGGAGUAUGGUAACAGGAAUGGUUGGUUAAAUAAUUUUGUUUCUUUUUUAAAAAAAUUGUUAAAAAUGUUUACUUUUGAGAGAAAGAGAAUGCAAGUGGGGGAGGGACAGAGAGAGGGAGACACAGAACCCAAAGCAGGCUCCAGGCUCCGAGCUGUCAGCACAGAGCCCGACACGGGGCUCGAACUUAUGAACCAUGAGAUCAGGACCUGAGCCAAUGCCGGACACUUAACUGACUGAGCCACCCAGCCACCCCAAUGACGUUUCUUUUUAAAAAGUAGUUGUGAAUUUUCCCUUGAGCAUUAUUUGUACAAAGGUUGUCAGAUUUAUGAACACAAAAUCAGUUUUAAGCCAAAAGAUAAACAGGAGGGCUCAUUGUUGAAUUAUUCAUCAGCUAUUUCAGUACCUCCCAUGUGCAUAGCACUGUGUUAGGAGCUAUGUGGAUGCUGAGCUAGAAUGUGGGCUCCAUGAGUGGAAAAGAGGAGAGGGAUUCUGUCUACUUUGUUCAGUGCUAUAUUACAGCACCAGGACAGUGCUUGGCACACAGUAAGUACUCAAGAAAUAUUUGUGGAGUGAAUAAAAAUGUGUUCAUCAUUUUUACCAGUUAGGAUUUGGUUCGUCAGUGAGUGACAGAAACUUCAAAAUAACAAAGACUAGGGGCACCUGGGUGGCUCAGUCAGUUAAGUGUCCAACUCUUGGUUUCAGCUCUGGACAUGAUCUCACUGUUUCGUGCGUUCGAGCCUCAUGUUGGGCUCUGUGCUGGCAGUGCAGAGCCUACUUGGGAUUCUCUGUCUCCCUUUGUCUCUGCCCCUCUCCCACUCGUGCUGUCUCUGUCUCUCUCAGGAUAAAUAAAUAAGCUUAAAAAAUUUUUUUUUUAAGUAACAAAGACUUAAGCUGGACGGAAAUCUAUUUCUUACAUGAAAUUAAUCUAGAGGAAAACAACCCAGGCAGUUAGGGAAGGCUCAUAAUAUCAUCAGGGCCCAGUGUAUCCAUGUCUUACUGCUCUGUAUUCUCUGGCAUCUGACUUUCACUUCAGGGUCCCAGCUGACUGCUUGAGCUCCAGCCAUCACAUCAACAUUUCCAAGAAAAAGGAGAAAAGAAGAGCACGCUUCCUUUCUUGAAAGGCACUUCCUGAAUUUAAGAGAACUGCUUACUUACAGGAGCAGACAGGGAGCAGAAGGCUUGAAAGAAGGUCAUCAGAGAAGAAUUGGAGGUCCACUGCAGCGUCCUCCUCAGCAGAGAAACACGAACUCCUUGAAAGUGUGGUGAGGGAGAGGGAGUGCACUCAAGAGCCUUCACCCGAGUCUGGAUUGGGGCUUCACUGCUUUCUUGCUCUGGGCUUUUUGAUCGUGUCUGAUCACCUCCAAGGGAACGUUUGGAGCCUUGUCGAGGUAGGCUUUGAGCAGCAAGGACCUCAUCUGAGCCUCAGCUGUAUCCACAACAGCCCAUUCGCUGAGAGUACCAAGGAAUGUGUAUAUGCAAAUAUGGUGUUGCCUAUGAGGAUGCACGAGACCUACCUACUCUGUGAAUACCACAUCUCUGAAGUAAGAAGCUCUCACCAUCGAUCUCUUAGAUCACCUUGCCAAUGUUCCACCAACGUAAGUGAAUCACAAGUUUAACUCGGGUUUGGUUAUUAAAAUGAUUAGAUUCUGUUGUAAAAAGUGAACUUGAACGUAUCCCAACAUGUAA